GGACUCCGAGGGCGUGGCUAAAGGAGAACGGUGGGCGGAGUAACCAUUAGGUGAGGUACGUAGAGAGGAUGCAGGUUUGAGCCGUGCCGGUCCGUAACCCACAGUAUAGGAAGUUCUAGUAUGAACGGUUUACGACGAAGAAAACUUGCUUGAUGUCAUACAACCAGUAGUCAACCGAGUUGGGGCCUUGACUUCAGUUAGUCGGAUGCCAAAGCCUACCAUGCUCUGAAGCCAAGCAGGUGGCUCAAGAUGUGGUCUUUUGACCGCCUACAUCAGCAUCAUGGAAGAACGUGGAUUCCCAGGUCUUGACUAGGUCUCUCCAAUCAGAAUUACAAUGGAGCUGAGAUUCUGCCUGCUUAACAAGUUCCCCAGGUUGGAGAGAAGCCUGGCCCUGGCCAUCAGGAAUCUGAUGCUGACCUUGGCUGUCCUUACCUAUUGGGCAGAUGUACGCUGGGCCAAUGUCCUGGACCCAGCACAGAAAUUACAGCCUACUUGUGGAAGCCUGCAGCAGGCCAGAAAGGCUCCUGUCCAAGGCCAAACCAUCUUGCCAUUGUAUUAUUGCUCCAAACAGGAAGGGGCCUCUCCGAUUCUGACGGAAAAGCAGGCCAAGCAGCUCCUGAGAUCCCGACGGCAGGACAGGCCGAGCAAACCUGGGUUCCCUGACGAGCCCAUGCGGGGUUCUGGAUAGAGCUUCAGGGACGAUGUGGGUUUCCUGCUGCCAGUCUACAGCUCGGAGGAAAAGCGUGGGCAGCAGGACGCGGCCCCAGGCGAGAGCCGGAGGGUUUACGUAGAGGCCCCCAGAGGCUUUCUCGGAAACGCCAGGGCCUCCUCCCUUCAAGCUGGCCCUGCUGCUGCACCUGAAAUCCUGGACUUCUGUCUGGCCUCUCCCCCACCUUGGGUGUCGUGGCUGCCUUCUCCCUUUCGUGGGUUUGUCGAGAGCGUAGUGGGUGACCGGCCAGUCACCGGCUGUGGAAGAGGAGCCAUUUGCUCAUUUUAGGAGUACAUGCAUCAUCUGCUCCGCCUGGAGCACCGGGCCGAGGAGCAGUUCCUGGAGCACUGGCUGAACCCUCACUGCAAGCCCCACUGUGACAGGAACGUGGUCCAUCCCGUGUGAGGGGCUCGGGACCAGCCUCUGCAAGCAUUUUCACAAACACCCACCUGGCUACUGUCGAAACAGGACGAGGCUCCUUCUUUCAUUUGUUUUUCAGUUGCGGAAAUGGAUGGGUUCAGACCUUGUGAGCUGUGGGCACAGCAGAGAUUGCUUUGGGGAUUGAUGGCCAAUAUAUACACGCUGCUUCAUUUUA